GCAGCUUCCAGCACCGCUGCUGCCUUCGUGCCAGCUUCCACACGCGCCGUUACUUCACACUCCACGUCGACACGCCCACGAACGGCUUCUCCACGCUAUACACACCUGCAAUAGACUAACACCUACAAUGGUGUUAGAUUCUUAAAUGUUUUUCUAAAUGAGGUUAGAAAGGGAAGAUUUACUCACCGUCGGCCACUAUUAGAGGCGAGGGUACGGCGUCUGAGGGUAGAGAUUUGGGAUUGGUUGAGGAAGAAUCAAGGAAAGGGGGCUAGGGUUAUUUUAGAGAUGGCCGAUUGUUUUCUUUGUUCUUUGAAGGAAAUGUUUGGUUUUAUAAAAGGGAAGAAACGGUUUCGUUUAAGGGGAAGGGGAUCCGCGCGUCGACCCGCUCCGUAGCCCUGAUUCGCGCCUUUGCACUUCAGAUGGGUAAAUUACGCAAUUCGUCCUUCCUGUCUGCGCUAUUAUUUGAUAGGAUCCUUUUUAUAUUUUCUUUCUUGUUAAUUUUUACCUAAGAUUUGUACGCAGUUUUAAUUUAGCCUAUAGUUAAACGCUGCGUUUUCGAAUUUGGGACAAUUUCUCUUUUAGUCCUCAAACAUUUGUACGUGUUGUGUUUUAAUCCUUAAUUAUGCUUUGUUGCUUUAUUUAUUUGUAAA